AGAAUCAACGCUGGCGGCGUGCCUAACACAUGCAAGUCGAACGCGAAAGUCCCGCAAGGGAUAAGUAGGGUGGCAAACGGGUGAGUAACACGUGGGUGACCUGCCUUCAAGUGGGGGAUAACGUCCCGGAAAGGGACGCUAAUACCGCAUAACAUGCCGCUUUUUUAAACAGGGCGGACAUCAAAGCCGGGAUCGCAAGACCUGGCGCUAGAAGAGGGGCCCGCGCCUGAUUAGCUAGUUGGUGGGGUAAUGGCUCACCAAGGCGACGAUCAAGUAGCCGGCCUGAGACGGGCGACGGCCAACGACUGGGACUGAGACGACGGCCCAGACUCCGUACGGGAGGCAGCAGUGGGGAAUUGUCGCAAUGGGCGCAAGCCUGACGACGCAACGCCGCGUGGAGGAUGAAGACCUGGUCGUAACUCCUUACGAUCGAGAGAAG
rnacentral:rRNA from 1 species